AUACCUUUCUCGGCCUUUUGGCUAAGAUCAAGUGUAGUAUCUGUUCUUAUCAGUUUAAUAUCUGAUAUGUGGGCCAUUGGUCCACACGAUAUUAACUCAAUUUUUUGAGGGGAGGGUCCAUUAAGGUAGCUUGCUACCUAGGCCCUCGAGCGUCGCCCAUGCGUUGCACUACAGGAUGGGCCUGGCGCACCCCAU
rnacentral:snRNA from 1 species